GACAGAGGGUGCAAACGUUGUUCGGAAUUACUGGGCGUAAAGCGUGUGUAGGCGGCCAUAUAAGUCGGAUGUGAAAGCCCUGGGCUCAACCCAGGAAGUGCACUCGAUACUGUAUGGCUUGAGUACUGGAGAGGUUGGUGGAAUUCUCGGUGUAGAGGUGAAAUUCGUAGAUAUCGAGAGGAACACCGGUGGCGAAGGCGGCCAACUGGACAGAUACUGACGCUGAGGCACGAAAGCUAGGGGAGCAAACAGG
rnacentral:rRNA from 1 species